UCUCCUUGGACAACCCACGUGCCGUUGGUGAGCCACUCCCCACCCUAGUGAGUAUUUAUACUCCUUCCAGUGCAGCGGUUCUCCUUACGGCGGUGUGUCCUGUGGUCCUGGUCGUUCCUUAGCACUAUCCUACUCACCUUCAGGUAUACAAUUAGACCUUUAUACCCUAUUUUACCCACUACUCAUCCUUUCCUUACAUUUUGUCCCUCUGUCAUAACUGGGUUCUGUUUUUGGCAUACCACCCCAUUGUUUGGGGUCCACUCACAGCCCUUCCUUUAUGGUUAUUACCACAUUUGGGACACAGUGCACCUUAUGUACACUUCACGGUCACAACCCUACUAUCCCUUGCCCUACACCUUUAGACAAUUUUUCAUGUUUAAUAUAUAUAUUUUAUAUAUUUUUUAUUUAUCAUCUUUUCAUAUUUUUGUAUUACAACUGUUCACGAUAUAGCUAUUAUCAGCUUCUACAAUUUUUAAUUUUCACAGAUCAUCAUACUUAUGUUAAGGCACAUUAACUUCCAUGUAUCCAUGAGGCCGCCGUCUUGGACAUCUAGCUUUAUACUGGAUCAUUUUCCAUCCUUGUGGUGGGGUUGGCCCACCUCAGCUCCCGUGGGCUGUUACCUUCCCGGCUACGUUUCUGCCCUCCUAGUCUGUACCUUCGGUUUUGACAUACCCACAUCUACCUCAUACUCUGCUCCUGAGGAGUGGCACUAGCCACGAAACGCGUUGAGCCAAUAGACGCCCCCCCUCUCAUUCGUUGCCAUUACACCUUUACCAACGUUGUACAGAUCGAUUGUAUUUUAUAUACUUCUCAACUAUGGGUGUUAUUACUAUGGAGGAGCCACCAGAUGCCCCCCCCCCCAUGCCCGUUGCUAAUGUACUAAUUAUUAUCAUACACAUCGUCUAUAUGAUCGAUUGUGGUCACUAUUACUGUGGAGUUAUUCCAACGAAUUUGAUCUCAUUUAAUGUUUAUACUAUGCAUUAACUUUUACUGUUAGGAGCCAUUAGAAGCCCCUCUGGUUUAUAUAUGAUAUCUUUUACCAACUAAUUUCCUCUCUACACCAGUGGAGUGUACCAACGUAUCAAUAUUCAUUUAUCAUGGAGAUACUUUCCAGUGAUUUGGCCUCUUUUGAUAUCGUUUCCAGCAUGAACCUAUUAUAUUUAUUUAUUCCUACCAUUGUUACCAUGAACUGUUGAAAUGUAUGCAAUUUUCUUUGAUUAUUGUAACAGAUCUACCAUGCUACUAUUGUAUCUACUGUAUAUAUAAUUUUUAUACUAUUAAAUAACCGACUGUUUUUUGUAUCCGUGCAAUGCUUUCAUGUUAUUUGCUUGGUUCUGCUGGAUCACGUACCUGUCCAAAUCCCACUGUUAUUGUUACUCUCCUGGGGUGCAUGCCUCAUUUAAAGUCCCACCCUAUUCCUUAUUGUUCAAAAUAUCGGGGAUGGAAGUGCUUGGCUCUAUGCCUUGCGCCUCAUUUAAAGUCCCACCCAUUUAGUUUCUUGCAUUUACAUGUUUCCGGGGAUGGAUACAUGCACCCUUACAAUCAUACACUAUAUAUGUUGGUACUCUCCCUCCUUUAGGUUACUUAGCUGUCUGUUCAUUUCAAACUGUAUGAUCAUUAUAUGUUUAAAUCUUGUAUUAUACCAGUGUUGGCCUCCAGGGGUUUCAGCUUCAUAGUACCCCUCACAUCGUUACCCACGAUGUGAUUUUCGGAUGUGUUGCUGCCUUACAAUGGGCCAGCUUGUGGCUGGGCAGACUGUACCAGCCGGCUCUAUCAGUCCCGGGAGCUGCGAUGCGCUCUUGGGCCCCGCCCUUCCCCAUCCCUCCCACUGCCUUGGGGGUGUGGCUGGGGUCGGGCGGACGUCCGAUUGCGCAUCGACGGCACGCUUCCUACGCCAUGUCUGCUGCGGCACCACGUGUGACGUCAGCGGACUGACGUUGCUGAUUCCCAUCUGGAAGUCCCUGCGAGGCAGCUAGUGUGGGGCGGCGGGAUCACCCGCUCCCCCUCGCUCACACGCCGCCUCCUCUCCUUGGACAACCCACGUGCCGUUGGUGAGCCACUCCCCACCCUAGUGAGUAUUUAUACUCCUUCCAGUGCAGCGGUUCUCCUUACGGCGGUGUGUCCUGUGGUCCUGGUCGUUCCUUAGCACUAUCCUACUCACCUUCAGGUAUACAAUUAGACCUUUAUACCCUAUUUUACCCACUACUCAUCCUUUCCUUACAUUUUGUCCCUCUGUCAUAACUGGGUUCUGUUUUUGGCAUACCACCCCAUUGUUUGGGGUCCACUCACAGCCCUUCCUUUAUGGUUAUUACCACAUUUGGGACACAGUGCACCUUAUGUACACUUCACGGUCACAACCCUACUAUCCCUUGCCCUACACCUUUAGACAAUUUUUCAUGUUUAAUAUAUAUAUUUUAUAUAUUUUUUAUUUAUCAUCUUUUCAUAUUUUUGUAUUACAACUGUUCACGAUAUAGCUAUUAUCAGCUUCUACAAUUUUUAAUUUUCACAGAUCAUCAUACUUAUGUUAAGGCACAUUAACUUCCAUGUAUCCAUGAGGCCGCCAUCUUGGACAUCUAGCUUCAUACUGGAUCAUUUUCCAUCCUUGUGGUGGGGUUGGCCCACCUCAGCUCCCGUGGGCUGUUACCUUCCCGGCUACGUUUCUGCCCUCCUAGUCUGUACCUUCGGUUUUGACAUACCCACAUCUACCUCAUACUCUGCUCCUGAGGAGUGGCACUAGCCACGAAACGCGUUGAGCCAAUAGACGCCCCCCCUCUCAUUCGUUGCCAUUACACCUUUACCAACGUUCUACAGAUCGAUUGUAUUUUAUAUACUUCUCAACUAUGGGUGUUAUUACUAUGGAGGAGCCACCAGAUGCCCCCCCCCCCAUGCCCGUUGCUAAUGUACUAAUUAUUAUCAUACACAUCGUCUAUAUGAUCGAUUGUGGUCACUAUUACUGUGGAGUUAUUCCAACGAAUUUGAUCUCAUUUAAUGUUUAUACUAUGCAUUAACUUUUACUGUUAGGAGCCAUUAGAAGCCCCUCUGGUUUAUAUAUGAUAUCUUUUACCAACUAAUUUCCUCUCUACACCAGUGGAGUGUACCAACGUAUCAAUAUUCAUUUAUCAUGGAGAUACUUUCCAGUGAUUUGGCCUCUUUUGAUAUCGUUUCCAGCAUGAACCUAUUAUAUUUAUUUAUUCCUACCAUUGUUACCAUGAACUGUUGAAAUGUAUGCAAUUUUAUUUGAUUAUUGUAACAGAUCUACCAUGCUACUAUUGUAUCUACUGUAUAUAUAAUUUUUAUACUAUUAAAUAACCGACUGUUUUUUGUAUCCGUGCAAUGCUUUCAUGUUAUUUGCUUGGUUCUGCUGGAUCACGUACCUGUCCAAAUCCCACUGUUAUUGUUACUCUCCUGGGGUGCAUGCCUCAUUUAAAGUCCCACCCUAUUCCUUAUUGUUCAAAAUAUCGGGGAUGGAAGUGCUUGGCUCUAUGCCUUGCGCCUCA